AACGAACGCUGGCGGCAUGCCUAACACAUGCAAGUCGAACGAAGUCUUCGGACUUAGUGGCGCACGGGUGCGUAACGCGUGGGAAUCUGCCCUUGGGUACGGAAUAACUCAGAGACAUUUGUGCUAAUACCGUAUAAUGUCUUCGGACCAAAGAUUUAUCGCCCAAGGAUGAGCCCGCGUAAGAUUAGCUAGUUGGUGGGGUAAAAGCCUACCAAGGCGACGAUCUUUAGCUGGUCUGAGAGGAUGAUCAGCCACACUGGGACUGAGACACGGCCCAGACUCCUACGGGAGGCAGCAGUGGGGAAUAUUGGACAAUGGGCGAAAGCCUGAUCCAGCAAUGCCGCGUGAGUGAUGAAGGCCCUAGGGUUGUAAAGCUCUUUUACCAGGGAUGAUAAUGACAGUACCUGGAGAAUAAGCUCCGGCUAACUCCGUG
rnacentral:rRNA from 1 species